UCAGGACGAACGCUGGCGGCGUGCUUAACACAUGCAAGUCGAGCGGUAAGGCCCUUUCGGGGGUACACGAGCGGCGAACGGGUGAGUAACACGUGGGUGAUCUGCCCUGCACUCUGGGAUAAGCCUGGGAAACUGGGUCUAAUACCGGAUAUGAGCUCCUGUCGCAUGGCGGGGGUUGGAAAGGUUUACUGGUGCAGGAUGGGCCCGCGGCCUAUCAGCUUGUUGGUGGGGUAAUGGCCUACCAAGGCGACGACGGGUAGCCGGCCUGAGAGGGCGACCGGCCACACUGGGACUGAGACACGGCCCAGACUCCUACGGGAGGCAGCAGUGGGGAAUAUUGCACAAUGGGCGAAAGCCUGAUGCAGCGACGCCGCGUGAGGGAUGACGGCCUUCGGGUUGUAAACCUCUUUCAGCAGGGACGAAGCGAGAGUG
rnacentral:rRNA from 1 species